GGGUAACCUACCUAUAAGACUGGGAUAACUUCGGGAAACCGGAGCUAUACCGGAUAAUAUUUCGAACCGCAUGGUUCGAUAGUGAAAGAUGGCUUUGCUAUCACUUAUAGAUGGACCUGCGCCGUAUUAGCUAGUUGGUAAGGUAACGGCUUACCAAGGCAACGAUACGUAGCCGACCUGAGAGGGUGAUCGGCCACACUGGAACUGAGACACGGUCCAG
rnacentral:rRNA from 1 species